ACCUGGCUGGCUCAGUUGGAAGAGCAUGUGACUCUUGAUCUCAGGGUCAUGAGUUUGAGCCUCAGGUUGGGUG
rnacentral:tRNA from 1 species